UACGUAGGUGGCAAGCGUUGUCCGGAUUUACUGGGUGUAAAGGGCGUGCAGCCGGGCCGGCAAGUCAGAUGUGAAAUCCACGAGCUUAACUCGUGAACUGCAUUUGAAACUGUUGGUCUUGAGUAUCGGAGAGGUAAUCGGAAUUCCUUGUGUAGCGGUGAAAUGCGUAGAUAUAAGGAAGAACACCAGUGGCGAAGGCGAAUUACUGGACGACAACUGACGGUGAGGCGCGAAAGCGUGGGGAGCAAACAGG
rnacentral:rRNA from 1 species